UGAGGAAUAUUGGACAAUGGGUGGAAGCCUGAUCCAGCCAUCCCGCGUGUAGGAAGACGGCCCUAUGGGUUGUAAACUACUUUUAUCUGGGGAUAAACCUACUUACGUGUAAGUAGCUGAAGGUACCAGAUGAAUAAGCACCGGCUAACUCCGUGCCAGCACCGCGGUAAUAGCGGAGGGUGCAAGCGUUAUCCGGAAUUUGAUUGGGUUUAAAGGGUCCGUAGGCGGGCUUAUAAGUCAGUGGUGAAAUCCGACAGCUUAACUGUCGAACUGCCAUUGAUACUGUGAGCCUUGAGUAAGGUUGAAGUGGCUGGAAUAAGUAGUGUAGCGGUGAAAUGCAUAGAUAUUUACUUUUAGAACACCAAUUGCGAAGGCAGGUCACUAAGUCUUAACUGACGCUGAUGGACGAAAGCGUGGGGAGCGAACA
rnacentral:rRNA from 1 species